GGCUGGUCCGAAGGUAGUGAGUUAUCUCACUUGAUUGUUCACAGUCAGUUACAGAUUGAACUCCUUGUUCUACUACUUUCCUCCCUCCUCACUACUGCACUUGAGUAGUCUUAA
rnacentral:Y_RNA from 1 species